rnacentral:rRNA from 1 species
GACGAACGCUGGCGGCGUGCUUAACACAUGCAAGUCGAACGAAGAGCGAUGGAAGCUUGCUUCUAUCAAUCUUAGUGGCGAACGGGUGAGUAACGCGUAAUCAACCUGCCCUUCAGAGGGGGACAACAGUUGGAAACGACUGCUAAUACCGCAUACGAUCUAAUCUCGGCAUCGAGGAAAGAUGAAAGGUGGCCUCUAUUUAUAAGCUAUCACUGAAGGAGGGGACUGCGUCUGAUUAGCUAGUUGGAGGGGUAACGGCCCACCAAGGCGAUGAUCAGUAGCCGGUCUGAGAGGAUGAACGGCCACAUUGGGACUGAGACACGGCCCAGACUCCUACGGGAGGCAGCAGUGGGGAAUCUUCCGCAAUGGACGAAAGUCUGACGGAGCAACGCCGCGUGAGUGAUGACGGCCUUCGGGUUGUAAAGCUCUGUUAAUCGGGACGAAAGGCCUUCUUGCGAACAGUUAGAAGGAUUGACGGUACCGGAAUAGAAAGCCACGGCUAACUACGUG